rnacentral:rRNA from 1 species
AGUGAACGCUGGCGGCAGGCCUAACACAUGCAAGUCGAACGGCAGCACAGAGGAGUUUGCUCCUUGGGUGGCGAGUGGCGGACGGGUGAGGAAUGCAUCGGAAUCUGCCUAUUUGUGGGGGAUAACGUAGGGAAACUUACGCUAAUACCGCAUACGACCUACGGGUGAAAGUGGGGGACCUUCGGGCCUCACGCAGAUAG